AGUAGUAGUUUACCUGAUUAGGACAAUGCACAUUAAUCAACUUUUGUGUAAAUGCACCGGUGUUAGCCAGUCAGCUGAUUUUCAACUGCAUUCCUAGUUACCCAGCAUGCACGUCUUUAUGGUUAUGUGUGUGUG